ensembl:lncRNA
CGUCAUCUGAGGGGGUUAAGUAAGAACGGUCUUCCGAACGUCGAUUACUCAAAAUGGAUUACUCAAUCAUUAUUUAAGGAUUCGAGUAGUAAGCCAAGUAUUUAGUAGGUAGUAAGUAAUUAGUAAGUCAUUUCGAACACACCCUUAGUUUGUCCAAAAAAAUACUUAGGGAAAUGCAGUAUGCCAAAAAUACCAGGAUGUUGUACUUACUACAUACGGUCGCAAUUCGCAGUAUGCAAGCAAUUUAGGCUCUUCUUACCCACAAUCCUCUGCAGCAUAAGAUACAUGGGCAGCACUACAGGUGGGCUGAUAAGUGACAUCACUUGCAUGUUUUGUAUGCUUGCAAGAUGGGUGCAGCAGUGCCUACUGUAGAGUAGCUGCAGCACCGUAGGCGCACAAGAAAAAGGAUGCGAUUUGGAGUUAAAAAAACAGCCUUGUGUUUUCAACCAGAGCCGCACACUUAAUGAGUUCAGUGAAUCACAUCCUGUCGGAUCCCAGCGCUCACCGCAGACCUGUUGACGCUGCAGAGCCACGACCACCCUGACGUUUAUAAAGUUGAUCAAACUCUCUACAGUGGAUUAGAAAUUAAAGACACACAUGAACCGGGACCGAGUCCAGAAGAGGGACCCCGUCCACCGGACCGGACCCCCCCCUGGCUCCGAUCCGAGCCGUCCACGUGACAGCAAACCAGGCAGCAGCACGCACACACAGCACAGCUCGGUUCGACGUCGCCGGUACCGGAGCCGGAGCCAGCGCACACACAAACCCACCCACGGCAGCAGCACGGCGGCCAUGGACGGCUACGCGCGAGCGGAGGACGAGUCCUUCCCCCCACGGCUCGUGAGCCUCACCUGGGAGGACCCCCUGGAGCAGACCCCAAGCCCCAGAGCGAGGGACGUGACCAGGCAGGGACGGGCCAGGGCCGCCCUGGUGGUGGAGAUGAGAUGAACGACGCAGUGAGUCUUCAACCGGUCGUUUGAGUCUGACGACGGACCGAGGAGGCCUGCUGAAGGAUCACGUUCCUUUUUUUCUUCCUUCCGGCAUUAGAUUCCUUUCUUGCGGUUCUCUCUAAGGUUUGUGUUCGGGCUGGGGGGUAAGUGGGGGCUGUGGUAUGAAGUGGGGCUUUCAUGGCCCUUCUGAGACUGUCACAAACACAGGCCGUUACAAACGCAAGUGAUGUGACGCGUUCGCUUAACACUGAACGUUUUUUUGGAAUGGUGACAUUUUGGUGCCGUUUGUCUUUUCCGUCGGUUUCUCCCUCAUUCAUUAUUUCCGUGUUGACAGACAUCUUUUGUUUUUUUGGGGGACCCGCAAACCCAAAUGAGACGGCGAGCUCAGCUCUGCGCCUGCUUUGAUACACUGACAGAGUAUCAUUAGAUGAAAACACGAGGAAAAAAAGUGCAAAGACGCAGAAAGGAAAACAACAUUAUUGCAAACGUUGUCAGGAAAGGGUUCGGGGGGGGGAGAGGGGAGAGAUCCUGUUUUGAUAGCGCUCCGAAAGCGGAACGCCGACUGACUGACGCAUCACGCUGGUUUUU